ACUGAAGGAAGUUAGAUCGUAAAACAGUGUGCAUCCAAAUAGGCAUUUUCUCAAGUGCAGUUGUUUUUUUUGUUGUUGUUGUUUCUAAAUAAGUGAGUAUCUAGUAGAUUGUUUUUACAUAGGACCUGAGUUCGUUUUUCUGUGCCCGUAUCAGGAAGUCCACAAACAGCCUGUAACUCUGGCUCUCAGGGAUCUGGCAUCCUCUUAUGGGCUCUGUCAGGCACCUGCACUCAAACGUGAAACCCACCCCCUCCCCACAAAUGCAGAGAUGCUACACAUAUUUUUAAAGUAACUAAUAUGUUGAAGCACAUUAUUAGACUAAAGAGAGGACUGUCUGCUGAGUGUUGGGCCUAACAACGGGAGUGCUUUGUAAGCCUUACAGCACUCAUCUCUGACCCUCAUCCCAGUUCACACAAGUGGGUGGGGAUCAGCCAUUUUACAGAGAAUUAUGAUGAGGCUCAGAAUAUCGGCUCACACUUCCUUCCUGUGUUGCUGAGAGCUGCCUGGAGGACACUCUGGCUGAUAUGCUUGCACUGGAGGACACUCUGGCUGAUAUGUUUGCAUUAGAGGACACUCUGGCUAAUAUACUUGCAUUGGAAGACACUCUGGCUGAUAUACUUGCAUUAGAGGACACUCUGGCUGAUAGAUACUCUUGCAUUGGAGGACAAUCUGGUUGAUACUCUUGCAUUGGAGGGUACUCUGGCUGAUAUGUUUGCAUUAGAGGAUACCCUGGCUGAUAUACUUGCAUUGGAGAAUAUUCUGGCUGAUACUUGCAUUGGAGGGUACUCUGGCUGAUAUGCUUGCAUUGGAGGACACUCUGGCUGAUAUGCUCUUGCAUUGGAGGAUACUCUUGCUGAUAUGCUUGCAUUGAAGGAUAUUCUGGCUGAUAUGCUUGGAUUCAGAUGGGUGGACUUUACAAUUAAGGCUGGA
rnacentral:lncRNA from 1 species